CAGCCCCAAGAGUUAUCUUUGUCACCAAUGAGGAGGGGAUCAAACUUUGAUCAUCAAAGCAUGCACACAUGUUGUUAAGUGGAAGACAUAACAUCUGUAACAUGUUCGUGUACAGCCCAGCAGAUGGUGAUUGACAUAACAAUCACAAUCAUCAAGCAAUCAGGGCCGUCCAUCUCCCUACAUCUGGUCCAUCGAUCACAGCUGCAAAAAGGUUUUCAUACUUUGGGGAUUCUUUAUCCUGAUUGGUCAGCCUCAACCAACUUUAGCAAGAAUAAUGGCACAGCAGAGUCAUUCCCCCUCCACAUGGCUUGUCGUUUUCCCCCAUCCAUCCCAGUGAUGUAGAUUAGAGUUUGCUUGUUGCAUAUAUUAAGCAGUCAUCAGAAAACCCCAUUCCAAAAUCCCUUUUGGGAGUCUUUGAUGCUGAUGGGCAACGAAAACGACUGGUUUGUUUGGGUGCGUUCUCUAGGGUUUUAAAAUGCUUUUUCCAAAGGGAUCUUUGAAAGCAACGUUUUGCGAAAAAACAAACCAGACAUUACAUUUGAUACUGACCGGGAAAUAAUUGUUUUUAUUUGAAAAGCUCAACAAACCUACACGCACAAGAAAAAUAUACAAUUUAGAAUGGUUGGUAGUUGAUUGUAAGUUAGAAUAGGAGACGUGAAGUUGGACUUGGACAGGCAUUAGCAUUUCGUGGAUUAAUGGCCACAUAAUGUGACCUAUUUGUUACGAAUGCGACCCGUCUAAUAAAAUCAUAAUAAUUUC
rnacentral:lncRNA from 1 species